rnacentral:rRNA from 1 species
UCCUACGGGGGGCAGCAGUGAGGAAUAUUGGUCAAUGGUCGGGAGACUGAACCAGCCAAGCCGCGUGAGGGAUGAAGGUACAGAGUAUCGUAAACCUCUUUUGUCAGGGAACAAAGGCGGGGACGUGUCCCCGGAUGAGUGUACCUGAAGAAAAGGCAUCGGCUAACUCCGUGCCAGCAGCCGCGGUAAUACGGAGGAUGCGAGCGUUAUCCGGAUUUAUUGGGUUUAAAGGGUGCGCAGGCGGUCUGUUAAGUCAGCAGUCAAAGCCCGGGGCUCAACCCCGGCCCGCCGUUGAAACUGGCAGU